GCGUCCUUAGCUCAGAGGUAGAGCAACUGACUCGUAAUCGGUGGGUCACCGGUUCAAUCCCGGUAGGGCGCA
rnacentral:tRNA from 1 species